rnacentral:rRNA from 1 species
UACGGAGGGUGCAAGCGUUAUCCGGAUUCACUGGGUUUAAAGGGUGCGUAGGUGGAGUGGUAAGUCAGUGGUGAAAUCUCCAAGCUUAACUUGGAACUGCCGUUGACUACUAUCAUUCUUGAAUUAUUCGUGGAAGGUAAGCGGAAGUAUGUCGAUGUAGCGGUGAAAUGCUUAGAUAUGACAUAGAACACCGAUUGCGAAGGCAGCUUGCUACACGAUCAUUGACACUGAGGCACGAAAGCGUGGGGAUCAAACAGG